rnacentral:rRNA from 1 species
UACGUAGGUGGCAAGCGUUGUCCGGAUUUACUGGGCGUAAAGAGCGCGCAGGCGGUCGUUCAAGUCGCGUGUGAAAGCCCCCGGCUCAACUGGGGAGGGUCACGCGAUACUGAUCGACUGGAAGGCAGGAGAGGGUAGUGGAAUUCCCGGUGUAGUGGUGAAAUGCGUAGAUAUCGGGAGGAACACCAGUGGCGAAGGCGACUACCUGGCCUGUUCUUGACGCUGAGGAGCGAAAGCCAGGGGAGCAAACGGG